AGAAAUAAAACUUGCACAUGAGAAUAUACAUACAUACUAUUUCUAUUUUUUAUGUAUAGAAUGUUCAGGCGAAAUAAAUCUGAUUUUCUAUAAAAUAUGUAAUCUACAUUUAUGCAUUGUUGCUUCUUUGGGAAAUGAAAUAUUUUCAAAACAUCAAGUCACAUAAAAAUAAGCGAUUUAUAAAUUUUUAAUCGUUCAAAAGAACUCCUAAGACUAAGGAACUAAAUACCAGGUAUGGAAAUACGCCAUCUUUGGAUAUAGAAAAAAAAUUUUAAGGACUCAAUUUAUUAAUAAUACCGCCAAUUUACAUUAUUUUUUUACUUCAUAUUCAUUUUAAUACACAAAAUAAACAUUUUCCCACCAUUUUUUUGAUUUCAUUUCUUUAUAUGACUGAAAUGAAAAAAUCACAUCACCGUCAAAACUACGAAAUCUAUAUCCAAAGAUGGCGUAUUUCCAUACCUGGUAUUUAGUUCCUUACUAAGACAAGUCUUGGAGUUUUACGCCAAUAGCCCAGAUUGACUCAAAAUUUCAUGUUUCACCUUUUGAAGCUCCAAUUUAAUGAAUAAUUUUCUCGAACAUAUGAUGGUUUAGUGAGGGGGAGGGGAAGCAAACUUUUUUUCUGACAAUCAGACAAAAACAUUUUGCACGAAUUUUGGCGGAAUGAACUAUUGAUACGAUGAUUUUUGGGUUCAGCAUAAAAGAUUUCAUGUAUAGAUGCAUUGUGGAUUAAGAAUAUAAAUUCCUGUGAAUGACUUGUUGCCAAUUGAUGGAGCCACGUGCUUCACAAAACUCAAAAUUUAAUACUAAUUCAAAAAAAAAAAAAAAAUCAUUAAAAAUAAGAAAACGUUUGGACCAUUUAAAUGAUGAUGCCCAUAAGCCUUAUAUGUAGUACUCGAAUUACGACAAAAUGCCCAUCUUUAAAAUUGAAGGAGCAAACUUGAUAAAAAAUGUCCAAAUUCGUUGUGCCCCAGAUUUUGAAAAUUUUGAAUUUUCAAAUUGUGUUUUCCCCUUUAAUUUUGAAGAUAGGAAAUUUGUCAUAAUCAUUUUUUAUGUUUGUCCACACUCAAAUACUUUGAGUCAGUGAAGUCACUUAAAUGAUUCAAAAUUUUUUUCAUUUUUGGGGAAUUUUUCAAGAUUAGUAAAUUUUUGCCCAAAAAUGAAUGGAAGAACAAAAAAUGUUAUGACAAAUUUUCUAUCUUCAAAAUUGAAAGCGGAAACAUAAUUUGAAAAUUUUGAAUCAAGUUUUCCCCUUCAAUUUUGAUGAUGUGCAAUUUGCGUAACAUUUUUUUCAUAAUACAUGCAAUGAAACGUCGGUAUAACACACUCGAUAAAUGUUGAGAAACGCUAGAAUUACGAACGAGUUCAAACCAGCAUUGAAAGAAACAUACCAAUAUGGUUGAACGUAGUUUUUCCCAACUUGUUUACGUUUUAACGCGCAACGAUUGGUGAAAAAAAAACACCCAAGGGAAGGAAAAAAGCAACCGUACUUUUUUCUUCCCUGGUUGCUUUUCUCCUUCCCUAGGUAAGGAGAAAAGCAAUCAAGUAUUUUGUUAAUUAUUUGCGUAAAUCGGUUUGUUUCAUUGCAUUAAUUAUGAAAAAUAUCUUACAAAGCAAGAAUCGAACUGGAAUUUUACGUAUCUCGUGCAUUUGCUUCACUCGCUUCGCUCGUUCAGCAAUCAGAUGCACUCAAUACGUAAUGAUUCCAGUUCGACUCUUGUAUAGUAAUAUACUAUUGUUCGGCUACUCGAGUACUAUGGCUAAUGGUGUAAUGGACAUCAUUUGAAUGAUUCUAUUCUUUUCUUAUUCUUGAUGAUUUUUUUCAAAAUUAGUAAAUUCCGAGUUUUACAAAGCACAUCGCUCAUUUAAUUCACAAGAUAGGCAACCAGUCAUAAUAACUUUUUUUGAUCGUCUCCUCGAGUGCCAUCUACAGUUGAAUUUUGGCAAACGAUUUCCGGAAUACUCUGUAUGUGAUUAUAGAGAUUUUUAUACCUACUGAUAUCGAAAACACAUUACCUAAAGAGAUUCGCGAUAACAUUUGUAUCUAAAUGGUUGAUAGGUUAAAAAUUUUGAAAACAGAUAUUUACUUUUUUCAAUAACUCAUUUCAAAAAAUGAGAGCUUCUCACGCCAUGAAUCAAUUCAUUUGCAUUGUAACAUAUCGUGAGAAAUUCCAAUGGAUCGAAAUUGGCAAAAAAUGCAUAAGUUGAUGAGGGAAUUUCAUACAUACCUAGUAGCAUCUUUUGUUCUACACCAACAUUGCAAUGCUGAAAGUGACAGUGAUCUUUUUAAUAUUCACUAUAACUUGGACAAAUGCGACGGUCGAUAAAAAUAAGGUACCAUCGAUCGAUGAAAAUAAGGUACCAUCGAUCGAUGAAAAUAAAGUACCAUUGAUCGAUGAAAAUAAAGUACCAUCGAUCGAUGAAAAAAAAGUACUAUCAUGCAGAAUUGAAGAAUGCGACAGAGAAUGCACGGAAAAAAAUGGCGAAUAUAUUUUAGGCAAUCAAGUAAUAGGCAUAUGUAAUGGAGAUCGGAAUUGUGAAUGUUACGAAUUUAGAGAAGAUUGGCAUACACUCAGUCGUCUCAGGCUUUUAACUGACGCCGGCAGGCACGUUCUCUGGCGUCGUCCAAAAAAAAUAAUUGAUCAAUAAUGUAAAUAUUAUAAGCGUUAUUGUAAACUCAAAAACUACAAUCAAAAGUUGUAAAAGUAUUUCAAUUUCGUUGAAUAUUUUUUUAAAAAUCUAUUUUUGUAAAAUUACAGAAUCUACUUACUUAA